ACAGAGGUGGCAAGCGUUGUUCGGAUUUAUUGGGCGUAAAGGGUCCGUAGGCGGCCUAGAAAGUCGGAUGUGAAAUCCCACAGCUCAACUGUGGAACUGCAUUCGAAACUUCUAGGCUCGAGUGUGAUAGGGGUAAAGGGAAUUCCCGGUGUGAGGGUUAAAUCUGCAGAGACCGGGAGGAACACCAGUCGCGAAGGCGCUUUACUGGAUCACUACUGACGCUGAGGGACGAAAGUCAGGGGAGCAAAAGG
rnacentral:rRNA from 1 species